rnacentral:rRNA from 1 species
GACGUCAAGUCCUCAUGGCCCUUAUGGGUUGGGCUACACACGUGCUACAAUGGCGGCGACAGAGGGCAGCGACCCCGCGAGGGUGAGCUAAUCUCCAAAAGCCGUCUCAGUUCGGAUUGUUCUCUGCAACUCGAGAGCAUGAAGGUGGAAUCGCUAGUAAUCGCAGAACAGCAUGCUGCGGUGAAUACGUUCCCGGGCCUU